UACGUAGGCGGCAUGCCAAGUAUCUUGUGAAAUCCCUCGGCUCAACCGAGGAAUGGCAGGGUAAACUGGCAUUCUUGAGGCAGGUAGAGGUAACUGGAACUCAUGGUGGAGCGGUGGAAUGCGUAGAUAUCAUGGGGAACGCCAAAGGUGAAGACAAGUUACUGGGCCUGUCCUGACGCUGAGGUACGAAAGCGUGGGUAGCAAACAGGAUUAGAUACCCUGGUAGUCC
rnacentral:rRNA from 1 species